rnacentral:rRNA from 1 species
CCUACGGGAGGCAGCAGUAGGGAAUUUUGCGCAAUGGGCGAAAGCCUGACGCAGCAACGCCGCGUGAUCGAGACGCCCUUCGGGGUGUAACGAUCUGUCAGUGGGGACGAAAAUUGACGGUACCCACAGAGGAAGCCCCGGCUAAAUCCGUGCCAGCAGCCGCGGUAAUCCGUGGGGUGCAGGCGUUGUCCGGCAUCAUUGGGGAGAAAGAGUUCGUAGGCGGUACGUAAAGUCUGGUGUUAAAGGCAGAGGCUCAACUUCUGUACGGCACUGGAUACUGGCGAGCUAGAAUGCGGUAGAGGUAAAGGGAAUUCCUGGUGUAGCGGUGAAAUGCUUAGAUAGCAGGAGGAACAUCAGUGGCGUAAGCGCUUUACUGGGCCGUAAUUGACGCUGAGGAACGAAAGCCAGGGUAGCAAAUGGGAUUAGAUACCCGUGUAGUC